CCUACGGGGGGCAGCAGUGGGGAAUAUUGCACAAUGGGCGCAAGCCUGAUGCAGCCAUGCCGCGUGUGUGAAGAAGGCCUUCGGGUUGUAAAGCACUUUCAGCGGGGAGGAAGGCGGUGAGGUUAAUAACCUCAUCGAUUGACGUUACCCGCAGAAGAAGCACCGGCUAACUCCGUGCCAGCAGCCGCGGUAAUACGGAGGGUGCGAGCGUUAAUCGGAAUUACUGGGCGUAAAGCGCACGCAGGCGGUCUGUCAAGUCGGAUGUGAAAUCCCCGGGCUCAACCUGGGAACUGCAUUCGAAACUGGCAGGCUAGAGUCUUGUAGAGGGGGGUAGAAUUCCAGGUGUAGCGGGGAAAUGCGUAGAGAUCUGGAGGAAUACCGGUGGCGAAGGCGGCCCCCUGGACAAAGACUGACGCUCAGGUGCGAAAGCGUGGGGAGCAAACAGGAUUAGAUACCCUAGUAGUC
rnacentral:rRNA from 1 species